rnacentral:lncRNA from 1 species
CUAUUGCCCUCUGAUCAAUAGGAGCUCUACAUCGCACUUCGACCAUAACCACUAAAUCUAUAAGGCCUUAAAUCAAACUAUCCCAUCCUAGCCCCUCAAGCAUAAGAAAAUACAUUAAAUAUACCUUCAUCUAACCCUAGACAUCUUUGCUAUCAACUCAUCCCUUCAUCUUCUGUAAAUACCCCUCUAAACUUAGCCAAAGACAAGACAGAAAAUGACAAAAAAUAGUUAAGCUUUCGGAGAGGCUAUCCAAGUAAAUAUAAAGAAAAUCCUGGCCUCUCUUCAUUCAUGUCUUCUUCUACCUUCAGAAAUCUUAAAAAUCUAAUCUUGAUUCACCACUCAAACCAAGUCCUGGCAACCAAGGCAAGGAAGUCUUGAUCCUCCAGUUUGAGGUCCUAUGCAAGUAAAGGCUUGAUAUCAAAGGGAAAUGGAGAGGAAGCAGCAUCAAGAAGCAUCUAGAUGCCAAUUUCUUCUCUUCCUCCCUUUCUCAUUAUUUUUUUAUUGUUCUUCUUUGAGCCUUCCAUCAAGGCCUUAACCCUAGCCUAGAAUGAAAGUAGGAUCCUCUCCCUUAUCUCUAGGAACUUUAGUUUCCAAGGGGUUGUAGCAUACACUAUUUAGCCCUUCCUCAA